rnacentral:rRNA from 1 species
CCCUUAGAUGUUCUGGGCCGCACGCGCGCUACACUGACGAAGUCAGCGAGCAUGUCCUACGCCGACAGGUGCGGGGAAUCUUGUCAAACUUCGUCGUGAUGGGGAUUGAUUAUUGAAAUUCUUGAUCAUCAACGAGGAAUUCCUAGUAAGCGCAAGUCAGCAGCUUGCGUUGAUUACGUCCCUGCCCUUUGUACACACCGCCCGUCGCUACUACCGAUUGAAUGGUUUAGUGAGAUCUUCGGAUUGGCGCCACUGCGGCUCAGCAAUGGGCUCGGUGGAUGCCGAAAAGUUGAUCAAACUUGAUCAUUUAGAGGGAGUAAAAGUCGUAACA